UACAGAGGGGGCUAGCGUUGUUCGGAAUCACUGGGUGUAAAGGGUGCGUAGGCGGUCCGUUAAGUCUGAUGUGAAAGCCCUGGGCUCAACUCAGGAAUUGCAUUGGAAACUGGCGGGCUGGAGUACUGGAGAGGGAAGCGGAAUUCCUGGUGUAGCGGUGAAAUGCGUAGAUACCAGGAGGAACACCGGUGGCGAAGGCGGCUUCCUGGCCAAGUACUGACGCUGAGGCACGAAAGCGUGGGGAGCGAACGGGAUUAGAUACCCCGGUAGUCCACGCUGUAAACGAUGGGUGCUAGGUGUUGGAGGUAUCGACCCCUUCAGUGCCGUAGCUAACGCAUUAAGCACCCCACCUGGGGAGUACGUUCGCAAGAAUGAA
rnacentral:rRNA from 1 species